GACGAGGGAUCCAAGCGUUGUUCGGAAUCAUUGGGCGUAAAGCGGGUGUAGGCGGCUUUAUAAGUCAGGUGUGAAAGCCCAGGGCUCAACCCUGGAAGUGCAUUUGAUACUGUAAGCUUGAGUGUGGGAGAGGCUAGUGGAAUUCCAGGUGUAGUGGUGAAACACGUAGAUAUCUGGAGGAACACCGGUGGCGAAGGCGGCUAGCUGGCCCAACACUGACGCUAAGAUCCGAAAGCGUGGGGAUCAAACAGG
rnacentral:rRNA from 1 species